UACACACCGCCCGUCACACCACGGAAGCAGGCAACACCCGAAGCCGGUGAGCUAACCCGCAAGGGAGGCAGCCGUCGAAGGUGGGGUCAGUGACUGGGGUG
rnacentral:rRNA from 1 species